rnacentral:rRNA from 1 species
UACGUAGGGUCCGAGCGUUGUCCGGAAUUAUUGGGCGUAAAGGGCUCGUAGGCGGUCCGUCACGUCGGGAGUGAAAACUCAGGGCUCAACCCUGAGCGUGCUUCCGAUACGGGCAGACUAGAGGUAUGCAGGGGAGAACGGAAUUCCUGGUGUAGCGGUGAAAUGCGCAGAUAUCAGGAGGAACACCGGUGGCGAAGGCGGUUCUCUGGGCAUUACCUGACGCUGAGGAGCGAAAGUGUGGGGAGCGAACAGG